UACGUAGGGGGCUAGCGUUGUCCGGAUUUAUUGGGCGUAAAGAGCGUGUAGGCGGCCAAGUAGGUCCGGUGUGAAAACUCGAGGCUUAACCUCGAGAUGUCAUCGGAAACCAUUUGGCUAGAGUCCGGAAGAGGAAAGUGGAAUUCCUGGUGUAGCGGUGAAAUGCGCAGAUAUCAUCUGGAACGCCAAAGGUGAAAACAGACUGCUGGGAGUGUGCUGACGCUGAGACACGAAAGCUAGGGGAGCGAACGGG
rnacentral:rRNA from 1 species